CUAUCCAAGUAUCCAUGCUUCCUUUGGUUGUCCUUCUGGUGAAUUUACAACAACAAUCUCAAGCUCACCUGAACUUUAUCAGCUGCAUUUUAUUCAAAGCACAAAUAGAUAACAUUGUUGCCAUGUAGAGUCUCUAUCUUUCAUCCUUCCUAGAUAGAUAAAUAACCAUCGUGCAACUUUUAAGCCUAAAAAGUAAAAACUGAUCUGUUUGAAUUGAAAACACUGCAAAACAAAUAAACACUAUCCCACAAGGAUUCACUAAUCAUUCAGACAAAAUCAAGAAACUGCUAUUUUGUUGUUGAUAGAAUAAGGAAUUUCUGUCUCCGACAACCACUGAACCAACCAUCAAUAAAAGUCCAGCCCCUGCACUAUCACUUUAACCCAACUUAAUUAAGGCUUGGUUGCCUUAUUCCCAAGCUAGUUACGGUCUUUGCUUUCAAUCAAGUAAUAGGAAGAAUAAUUAUUUUGAGAUCCUACUUCUUUUCCUACUUAAUUUAAAUAGAAAGUGAGGUGUAAACAUCAGUCCAUCUCCAUUCAUGACAG
rnacentral:misc_RNA from 1 species